rnacentral:rRNA from 1 species
UUGAACGCUGGCGGCAUGCCUUACACAUGCAAGUCGAACGGCAGCACGGGUGCUUGCACCUGGUGGCGAGUGGCGAACGGGUGAGUAAUACAUCGGAACAUGUCCUGUAGUGGGGAAUAGCCCGGCGAAAGCCGGAUUAAUACCGCAUACGAUCUACGGAUGAAAGCGGGGGACCUUCGGGCCUCGCGCUAUAGGGUUGGCCGAUGGCUGAUUAGCUAGUUGGUGGGGUAAAGGCCUACCAAGGCGACGAUCAGUAGCUGGUCUGAGAGGACGACCAGCCACACUGGGACUGAGACACGGCCCAGACUCCUACGGGAGGCAGCAGUGGGGAAUUUUGGACAAUGGGCGAAAGCCUGAUCCAGCAAUGCCGCGUGUGUGAAGAAGGCCUUCGGGUUGUAAAGCACUUUUGUCCGGAAAGAAAUCCUUGGCCCUAAUACGGUCGGGGGAUGACGGUACCGGAAGAAUAAGCACCGGCUAACUACGUG